rnacentral:rRNA from 1 species
CCUACGGGAGGCAGCAGUGGGGAAUAUUGCGCAAUGGGCGAAAGCCUGACGCAGCGACGCCGCGUGAGGGAUGAAGGUCUUCGGAUCGUAAACCUCUGUUAGCAGGGAAGAACGGUCACUGUGCUAAUCAGCAGUGAAUUGACGGUACCUGCAAAGGAAGCACCGGCUAACGCCGUGCCAGCAGCCGCGGUAAUACGGAGGGUGCGAGCGUUAAUCGGAAUUACUGGGCGUAAAGCGCUCGUAGGCGGUAUGUCAAGUCAAGGGUGAAAUCCCCGCGCUCAACGUGGGAACUGCCUUUGAAACUGGCAGACUGGAGUGUGUGAGAGGAUAGUGGAAUGCCAGGUGUAGGAGUGAAAUCCGUAGAUAUCUGGAAGAACAUCAGUGGCGAAGGCGACUAUCUGGCACAUAACUGACGCUGAGGAGCGAAAGCGUGGGUAGCAAACAGGAUUAGAUACCCGGGUAGUC